UCCAUUACUCAGUUGGUAGAGCGCAAGGCUCUUAAUCUUAUGGAUGUGGGUUCAAACCCCAUGGUGGAG
rfam:Triticum aestivum genome assembly, contig: Triticum_aestivum_CS42_TGACv1_scaffold_147107_2BS